GAGGAGACGGAUAGAGUCUAGGGUAAGCUCGAAUCGCUCCAAAUGAAGAAGAAGAAGGGGAGGAACUUGGUUCCUAAGUGGGCGAUUUAGAGUGAGAGAGUCGGUGGGAAAGGAGUUUCAAGGAAAAUCUUGGGUUUGAGGAAGAAGAGAGGGAGACCUUUGGUUCGACGGAAGGAAGAAGGUGGAGAGUUGGGUCGGCUCAAGAAGGAUUUUCAACAAAAAGAGAGCGUC
rnacentral:lncRNA from 1 species